ensembl:rRNA 5S_rRNA 5S ribosomal RNA
GUCUAUGGCCAUAACACUCUGAAUGCGCCCAAUCUUAUCUAAUCUUGGAAGUUAAUCAGGGUCCAGCCUGCUUAGUACUUGGAUGGGAGACAUCAGGAUCAGCAGGAAGCAGGCC